UACGUAGGGGGCAAGCGUUGUCCGGAUUUAUUGGGCGUAAAGAGCGUGUAGGCGGUCAGAUAGGUCAGCUGUGAAAACUCGAGGCUCAACCUCGAGAUGUCGGCUGAAACCAUCUGGCUAGAGUCCGGAAGAGGAGAAUGGAAUUCCCGGUGUAGCGGUGAAAUGCGCAGAUAUCGGGAAGAACACCCGUGGCGAAGGCGGUUCUCUGGGACGGUACUGACGCUGAGACGCGAAAGCGUGGGGAGCGAACAGG
rnacentral:rRNA from 1 species